UACAGAGGUCUCAAGCGUUGUUCGGAUUCAUUGGGCGUAAAGGGUGCGUAGGCGGCGCGGUAAGUCGGGUGUGAAAUCUCGGAGCUUAACUCCGAAACUGCAUUCGAUACUGCCGUGCUUGAGGACUGGAAAGGAGACUGGAAUUUACGGUGUAGCGGUGAAAUGCGUAGAUAUCGUAAGGAAGACCAGUGGCGAAGGCGGGGUCUCUGGACAGUUCCUGACGCUGAGGAGCGAAAGUGUGGGGGAGCGAACAGG
rnacentral:rRNA from 1 species